rnacentral:hammerhead_ribozyme from 1 species
AUCCAGCAUACAAGUCCCGAAUAGGACGAAACGCCCGUCCUGGAU